UGACACUGUACCUGAAUGUGACAACACACCUGAGUUCAACAAUGUGCCCGAUUGUGAUGACAUUCCUGGCAGUGACCCGGUAGUUCCUUCUGAAGAGAAGUUUGAAGCAGUAGUAAAUACUGAACGGUUGACCCAUGGUAGUGAUUGUAAAAGUGAACCUAACCUACAUAGUGAAGGUGUAUGUAACCAAAAUGUAUCAGAGGACAAACCCAACCACCCAAGUCAUGAAAUCACAAAUCCUGUGAGACGUUCAGAGAGACAAACCACUCAACCAAAGAGGCUCCAGUAUAGCCAGUUAGGGAACCCACUCAUAUCCAUUGCCCAGUCCCUAUUCCAUGGCUUAAGCCUUGCUUUUACUAGUGCCUUGAUAGAACCUGAACUUGAAACCACUUUUAAGGGUUCCAGCAUUCCUGUCAUUUCAAAACAACCCAUCCCAUGCAAAGGGACUUGCAUGUUCCAAGGGGGGACAGUGUAACCCAGUGUUUAAAAACACAAGAAAAAAAUAAUAGAUGUUAAUUCAAUGUCUUAUUCUACCAAAAGAACUAAAAGGUAAUUACGUAAAAAAAAAAAAAGAAAAAAAAAGUGAAAUAGGCCUUUAGUGUUAGUUUCUGUUGGCGGUUUGAGUAGCCAAUGGCUGGCGCGGUCUGGUUUCGCGUCGGCCAAUGGGGUUGAUUGUCCCGCCCCUUUCAACAGCUGGCGGUUGUUUCGUUCGGAGCGCAGCAGACAGGCUUGAGAGCUAACAGCUGACGGUUGCUUCCGCUCAGAACGCUUGAGAACAGCUGACGGUUGCUUCGCUCAGAACGCCUGAGAGCUAACAGCUGACGGUUGUUUCCUUAAAGAGCUUGAAAGAAAUUGACAAAUCUGGAGAUCUCGGAGAGUUUCCCCUGUAAACAGCUGAACACCGAAAAAUAGCCGUUGACAGCUCGGAGCAUCGGUCAGGUUUUUUUUUUUAGCUUAUUUGAUACACUUUUGGCUUGGAGAGCCAAAGAUUCCAAGACCCUCUUCUCCUGAACCUGGAUGGCGAGCCCCAGCCCAGAGGACCAGGCGCACGGGUAGAUAGUGACCCGACUGGUCACCAGCUGAGAGACUGAGACUGAACAAUUGACUCAUUGGAGACCGAAGUAUUCAAUUUAUUUAUUUAUUUAUUUAUUUUUUAAAAGCGCGCAGUAUUUGUUUGUCUGUUUUAAAUGUGGAUCCACCAUUGUUUAUUAUAUUAAAUUUUGCUGUUUUCUUGUAGACACUGUGUGUGUUCUGUUGUUGCUCACACCUGGGUUCCCUCGAAUUUAGAAUCUUCUGAUUAGGCCCAACUUCCUAUAUAUAUAUAUAUACUAAAUUAAUUAACCUGUUUUUGUGGGUUGCUUGUUACACUCAACUAAAACCCCCCUUGUUUAGAGUUGUAUUUGAAACGUGAUCAAUUAGAAAUUUAUUGACGGAAUCUGACUUG